GCUGAAAUAGCUCAGGUGGUAGAGCAACGCACUCGUAAUGCGUAGGUCGGAAGUUCGAGUCUUCUUUUCAGCACCA
rnacentral:tRNA from 1 species